rnacentral:rRNA from 1 species
AUAUCAGUCAUGCAUAGCAUAUCAAUAAGCGGAGGAAAAGAAACUAACUAAGGAUUCCCUUAGUAACGGCGAGUGAAGCGGGAAGAGCUCAAAUUUGAAAUCUUCAAGGUUCUACCUUGACGAAUUGUAGUUUAUAGAAGUGUUUUCUGUUAGUAGGAGUGGCAAAAGUUCUUUGGAAUAGGACAUCAUAGAGGGUGAGAAUCCCGUAUUUGGUCAUUCCUCCUAGCGUUGUGAUACACUUUCAACGAGUCGGAUUGUUUGGGAAUGCAGUCCAAAAUGGGUGGUAAAUUUCAUCUAAAGCUAAAUAUUGGCGAGAGACCGAUAGCGAACAAGUACCGUGAGGGAAAGAUGAAAAGAACUUUGAAAAGAGAGUUAAACAGUACGUGAAAUUGUCAAAAGGGAAGCGUUUGACACCAGUGUUGUUUUUCCGAAAAUCAAUUAUGAAUGUUUUAUUUUUGAGGAGUUAUGACUUCAUCGGCUUGCUUCUCUUCUUUACGAAACUUUCUUAAUGCACUUUUCGGUUAACAAGUCAACAUCAAUUUCUUUUGUUGUAAAAGGGUAUGAGGAAGGUGGCUUUCUUUUCGGAGAAAGUGUUUAUAGCCUUGUGCCUCUGCAAUCGGAGAGAUUGAGGUCUGCAGCGUAGAUCCUUCGGGGUUAGAUACGUUUGUGCUAAGUUAUAGCUUUUCAUAGACAACUUGUUGACUAUGUUAAGUCAUUGUAGCUUACUCGCUGACUGCUAUUUUACCUACGCUUAGGAUGUUGAUCUCUCACAGUCGAGC